GACGAACCGUGCGAACGUUGUUCGGAAUCACUGGGCUUAACGGGCGCGUAGGCGGCUUGCCAAGUCAGGGGUGAAAUCUUUCGGCUUAACCGGAAAAGUGCCUUUGAUACUGGCAGGCUAGAGGGAGGUAGGGGCAUGCGGAACUUCCGGUGGAGCGGUGAAAUGCGUUGAUAUCGGAAGGAACGCCGGUGGCGAAAGCGGCGUGCUGGACCUCUUCUGACGCUGAGGCGCGAAAGCUAGGGGAGCAAACGGG
rnacentral:rRNA from 1 species